rnacentral:rRNA from 1 species
GUCUAUGGCCAUGCCACCCUGAAUGUGUCUGAUAUUGUCUGAUUUCAGAAGCUAAGCAUAGUCGGGCCUGGUUAGUACUUGGAUGGGAGACCACCUUGGAAUACCAGGUGCUGUAGACG